AUCUACUACCCUUUCUAUAUCACUGUUAGCCUUUACUGCUUCCACUGGAAGGCUAUUCCAGGUAUCUACUACCCUUUCUAUAUCACUGUUACUGCUCCCACUGGAAGGCUAUUCCAGGUAUCUACUACCCUUUCUAUAUCACUGUUAGCCUUUACUGCUCCCACUGGAAGGCUAUUCUAGGUAUCUACUACCCUUUCUAUAUCACUGUUACUGCUCCCACUGGAAGGCUAUUCCAGGUAUCUACUACCCUUUCUAUAUCACUGUUAC